UGGAGUUGCACCUUUUCUCUUAUGUUUAAGAGUUCCAGGUCAUGGUGAUAUUUAAGAAAGAACUCAGCCAAAACACAGAAGAAUUGAAGGCCAGUCAUCAGAGGGGAAGAAUAUAGCCUGACAAGUCUACAGAGUAAAUAAGGUUGUAGAGAUGUGUCACUUCAUUUCAAUUAAACAUCUAUGCAUUCUCACCCACUUGUGUUCUGCGGCUUUGCUGUGAAGUUCCAUUCAAGUAGAAGAAUAUUUGAUGUUGGAAGAGGUCUCUGGAGAUCAUCUCAUCCAACAUCCCUGCUCAGGGGAGGGUAAACUGGAGCAGGUUGCCCAGGAUCCUGUUCAGUGGGUUUGUAAUAUCUCCAAGGAUGAGGAGAGUUCUCUUGUUUAGGUGUCCUGUUCCAGUGAUCAGUCACUCUUACAUAAAGGUUUCUUAUGUUUAAAUGAUAUUUGCUGUAUUUUGGACAUUGCUGUAUUUGAAGGACACUGCCUGUCUUUUUUCACUAGACACCAUGGAGAAGAGUCUGGCUCUGUCCUUUGCUCCUCUCAUCCAUUUAUAAAAACAGCCUUGACCACGUCGCUCCAACUGUUCCCAUAGCUCCCAUUGCUGAUAUUCUAACAUGAUGCAGCCAUAAACUGGAUCUUUCUUUUCUUUUUAUGUACUUUUUAAUUAUCUAAAGGCUAAACUUUUGACUGCCACUUCUCAUUUGCACGCUGGAUUUGGGGUUAGAAAACAAGUUUGCUUAUUUAAUAUUUGCUUUGAUUUGGUGAUUAGUCUUUGCUCUUAAUUAUUUUUACCAUUUCCACAUGAGUGAUCAGGAAAUUAACAGCUGUCUCACACUUCCAGCAAGUUAAAAACAGCCUAUCGUAUUUCCUUAUUGACGUCUUCCUUGCCCCCGUGCAGAAUGUUUUAAGAUGCUGCUUCUCUUGAGUUUCCCACCUCACAGCUUGAGUAAUGCCACAGCUUUUAAAAAUGUUUCCCUUUUGACUUGCCAAGGCGAUGAAGACAAGUAAAGUCAUCCAGCAUAAAAGGUAUAUGUGAACAAAACAUGAAUGGAAGGUGUGGGUCAAGUUACAAUCCAAACAAGAAGAAUAUUAGAAGCAGUUUUGGAGACUGAGGAGACCAGUCCUGUGGCACACAUCUGCAGUGAGAAAUACUGCCAUCCUGGGAUCCUGUGUGGUGUUUACACACUCAUAGCAAAUCCUCUUUAAAAAGUAAAAAUAAAUGAAUUGCUGCUCCUUUUUCCACUGAUGUUUUCCUUUUAUCUUUUCAUUCCUUUUCAAAUUGGUAAUGAUUGUAAAUCGCUCCUUGCCACAGAAAGUGCUUUUUUUCCAAGAGCAGUUAUUUGAUUCCUGUAAUCUUAUUUAUUAGUU